rnacentral:rRNA from 1 species
UACGUAGGGGGCAAGCGUUAAUCGGAAUUACUGGGCGUAAAGCGUGCGCAGGCGGCUAUGCAAGACAGAUGUGAAAUCCCCGGGCUCAACCUGGGAACUGCAUUUGUGACUGCAUAGCUAGAGUACGGUAGAGGGGGAUGGAAUUCCACGUGUAGCAGUGAAAUGCGUAGAUAUGCGGAGGAACACCGAUGGCGAAGGCAAUCCCCUGGACCUGUACUGACGCUCAUGCACGAAAGCGUGGGGAGCAAACAGG